GAUGAAGAACGUAGCGAAAUGCGAUACUUGGUGUGAAUUGCAGAAUCCCGUGAACCAUCGAGUUUUUGAACGCAAGUUGCGCCCGAAGCCACUAGGCCGAGGGCACGCCUGCCUGGGCGUCACACGUCGUUGCCCCCCCAUCUACUCCUUCGGGAUUGCGGGGGGGCGGAUGAUGGCCUCCCGUGCGCCUAGCCGCGCGGUUGGCAUAAAUACCAAGUCCUCGGCGACGCACGCCACGACAAUCGGUGGUUGCGAAACCUCGGUUGCCCGUCGUGUGCGUUCGUCGCGCAUCGAGGGCUCGAAAAAAUGCUCGGCUUCGGCUCGGCUUUCAACGCGACCCCAGGUCAGGCGGGGUUACCCGCUGAAUUUAAGCAUAUCAAUAAGCGGAGGA
rnacentral:misc_RNA from 1 species